rfam:Schistosoma mansoni strain Puerto Rico chromosome 2, complete genome
GCACUGCUGAAGGAGUCCCAUAAUAGGACGAAACGGCCGUCCAGUGC